GGGCGCUCGGCCGGUGCUCCUUUUUUAAACCAGAACAACUCUGAACGUUAGAGAAGAUAAGGGAAGACCACCUGAGCGAACCGACCGAGGGGACUUGACUUAUUUUAUUCGAACCGAACGAUAGCGGCUUAAAGCUAAGCCUAUCACGAGCAGCGUCGCUGCUUGAAGGGUUCGGCGGGGAUAAGCAUCUCAAAGUAUGGGGCAAAGGAUCAAGCGCUUUUACUUUGUCUCCAGGGACACAGGUUGGGUUUGAGAGCCGUGUGAUGGGUGACUAUCCAGCACGGUUCGGAGAGCACUUUUAGUCUGCGUUGGUGAAUGGAAGCCCCUCUAUAAAGCAAGAAAGAAGCGGCUAUUCCCC